UAGGGAAUCUUGGACAAUGGGCGAAAGCCUGAUCCAGCCAUGCCGCGUGAGUGAAGAAGGCCCUAGGGUUGUAAAGCUCUUUUGGCGGGGACGAUAAUGACGGUACCCGCAGAAUAAGCCCCGGCUAACUUCGUGCCAGCAGCCGCGGUAAUACGAAGGGGGCUAGCGUUGUUCGGAAUUACUGGGCGUAAAGCGCUCGCAGGCGGCUUGGUAAGUUAGAGGAGAAAUCCCGGGGCUCAACCUCGGAAUUGCCUUUGAUAGUGCCAGUCUUCUGUCCGGGAGAGGUGAGUGGAAUUCCUAGUGUAGAGGUGAAAUUCGUAGAUAUUAGGAAGAACACCAGUGGCGAAGGCGGCUCACUGGCCCGGAACUGACGCUCAGGUGCGAAAGCGUGGGGAGCAAGCAGGAUUAGAUACCCCCGUAGUCC
rnacentral:rRNA from 1 species